GUAUUGAUUGCGUGUGACCGCAAAAAUAACAUUCUACACUGUAUCAAGUUUUGUGUGAAAACGUGAGCCCUCCUGCAAAGGGGACCCACGCGGUGAUGCACAAAGGGUGAAAUGGAUUGAGAGCACUCGGGCGUGCACGACCAAAAGGUCAGCGACAACCUGAGCACCUCUGUAGUACGAUAAUGAUCCUUCCGCAGGUUCACCUACGGAAA
rnacentral:misc_RNA from 1 species